rfam:Asian citrus Psyllid, Diaphorina citri - Florida Strain, whole genome shotgun sequence.
CUCGCUUCUCGGCCUUUUGGCUAAGAUCAAAGUGUAGUAUCUGUUCUAAUCAGCUUAAAAUGGCCUAAAUAAAUCCAACUACAGCUACCAAUUUUCCAAGCAAGAGUCCCAGCCACGCCUCUGGUUCGUUCACAUACUUACACAAACCUAUUGACACUGGCUUUGACAAUGGAUAUUCCUU